rnacentral:lncRNA from 1 species
GCUCAACAAGAGUCUUUUCAGCGCGAGAGUUGAAAGUAUUUUUCUCGCUUUCUGAAGGAGGGACUUCAGCACCCGCAUUUAGAAGGUCUCUUUCACUCCCUUCGCUCUCGUCCUGCGUCCGUUGCUCAGCGAUCUCGCUGACCAACGGGGAGAGACACUGCAAGCGGAUGUUCGUCCACUUGAGACAAUCAUUCCGAGUCACAGAGAAACCGAGACGUCUCCAGAUGCGAAGCUCCAAUCUUUCUGUAACUGGGAGGUCUCAUGCUUGCAGGAGUGUGACGAAGAGUCGCAGGAGCUCUUUGGGUUCCAGGAACGGCGGCCAGCCUGCAAGAUCAUCUGCACUGCUAGUUCGUCAUUCCAGAAGUGACGAUAACGCAUGAGGAACGGAAGCGAAUUCGCCGUCUGCUUUUGCGUUAGUGUCGCGAUCGAUAGCAGACUCCACGCAGCAGUUCUUCCGGAAAUCCUCUUCCUCAGACUCGAAGGGCAAGCCGCGGAAACGCAAGCAGAAAUGGAGAGGAGGAGGAAACAUAUCACAAAGAAAAUGGGUAAAAUCAAGGAAUGAGGCUCAGCGAGGCGAUCCGUUUUCCUCGGAGAUCCUUGGCAAACGUUUGUUGCGUCAGAAUUCUCCCUCGAUUCGCGAGUGCGUGCGGCAGGGAGACGGGUGCAUUUCCGGGAGAGGGAAAACGGCAGAAAACAACGAAGCUCUUUCAGUUUUCCUGCGUUGGUCCUGGAAAGAGCCUUUCGUAACUCGCAGAAAACAGGGAACAAAGGCUUGCGAGCAGGCAAGUUGAAGGACUUUCGUCUUCAACGCGAACAAAGAAGAUCCACGUUUCAGUGUCAUCAUCGGUUCCAGGCUCGACAGAGUCUCAAGUCUGUUGCUUGUUUCACACGGGGUGUUCGGACUCCAGUCCGUAUGUCCUCAUCUCUCACUUGUGACCAAGAGGAGAUCACUAAACAACGUCUCACGCGUAGAGUCUGUAUGUAAGCCUUCAUGUUGUCGCGAGUUUAACUAAGGGGCGCGGCGCAGAAGCUGCGUUCUCGCCGUAUUCUCCGUGUGUUUCUCUCAGUACAAGCACUGAGGAGACUCCGCGAGACUUGCGGUCGCAACGAAAAGCAGUUCCUGCUGCCACCAGUGGAACAAUUGUAGAGUCAGACACGGUACGUUCACCACGGCCCGCAAUUGUGAAAGUCUCUGCUCGGACUCCGUGGAAAAAAAGCCAAGGUAGAAGCCUGCCGUGGACAGUUGUGCUGUCUAGCUGUCAAGGGCGUCGGUCUCCAGGUGACAUUUUUCGAAACAAUAAUUGUGAGGGG